CGUUAGUAUGUAUGGAAGGUGUUCAGCACCAAGGACAGGACCUGGUAUGUUUGGCUAUGUGUGGAUGGUGUUCAAUGUUCACUGAUCUCAAUAUGACCUCCUUUUACCCUUCCAUGGCAGCGUUGACAUGAAUAUUCUGCAAGCUUUCAUGCCACAAUUUGUGUUUUAACGACACAAAAUGUGCAUUUCGACUUCCACUGACAAAUGAUUGCGUAUUAUUCUUAACGAAAUAAUUGGCGACCAACAGGUGGGAACUACGUACCCACGAAGCUAUGCGAAUACGCGAACUCCAAGAUGGCUGCCGAACAUGGAGCGGGAGGAACUUCUGACUAAACUUCGUCCCUGGAAGGUGACAAACGUCUGUUUUAGGUGUAAGCCGUGUCCAGAGGGUUCCCCAGCUGUGCAGGUGUUCCUGACAAGAUGAGACGUGUGAUGACAGAAGCAUCAGGUGGUGACAGGAACAGGCGGUACCCAGGGUGCAACUCUGGCAAUAAUUUCGAGUCCAAGAUGGCAGCCGUCAGUGGACAGGAUGGAGUUACCGGUUUGGUGAUUUCAUCCUUGGGAGACGUGCUCCAUCUUCUGAAGUUGGAAUGAGUUCAUCACUGUAGUGGAACCAACCAUUCUUCUCCAUGGGGAGGUGCAGGAUAUCUGCAGUGGUAAUGAAUUUAACUGCCAGCUUUACAUGGCUACGUGCUUAAUAAACUACAUUAAUUUCAAGUAAAAUAUUGUGAUGCUUUUUUUUUACUAUAGAGUGUCUGUGCUUCCGGAAAUUAUAGCCAAGUUUCAUAUUCGUCCAAAAUCAUAAUUAUACAUUUUGUUAUGUCCAUGUAUUGAUUUUGUGAUGAUGUGAUGUUUGUAUGUUUUCAAAAGAAUACAAAUCAUUUUCACCAUCUCUAUCCCUGGUAAGACUUCAACAAUCAAUAAAGUGACAUUCCAGACUGUUUCUUUUCUUCUAUUAUUCCCCAAGAGAAGAGAAAGGCUGAUGUACCAACUACAGUACUUGUCCUUGGUGCUGA